rnacentral:misc_RNA from 1 species
GAAAUGCGAUAAGUAAUGUGAAUUGCAGAAUUCAGUGAAUCAUCGAAUCUUUGAACGCACAUUGCGCCCUUUGGCAUUCCGAAGGGCAUGCCUGUUCGAGCGUCAUUACACCAAUCAAGCCUGGCUUGGUAUUGGGCGACGGGGUCGGUCGAACCACCCCCCGCCCCAAAGACCUUUCCGGCGGGAUGGACCGAAUCUCAGCGUUGUGCAAACGUGUCGCUGGCGAGACGGGACGGCCGUGCCGUUAAACCCCAUUUUCUUCAAGGUUGACCUCGGAUCAGGUAGGGAUACCCGCUGAACUUAAGC